GUGGGGAAUAUUGGACAAUGGGCGCAAGCCUGAUCCAGCCACGCCGCGUGAGUGAUGAAGGCCUUCGGGUCGUAAAGCUCUGUGGGGAGGGACGAACCGCUGGUAAUUCAUACCUACCAGCAUGACGGUACCUCCUUAGCAAGCACCGGCUAACUUCGUGCCAGCAGCCGCGGUAAUACGAAGGGUGCAAACGUUGCUCGGAAUUAUUGGGCGUAAAGCGCACGUAGGCGGCUCCGCAAGUCGGAUGUGAAAUCCCUCGGCUUAACCAAGGAAGUGCAUCCGAAACUGCAGAGCUUGAGUACUUAAGAGGAUCGCGGAAUUCCCGGUGUAGAGGUGAAAUUCGUAGAUAUCGGGAGGAACACCAGUGGCGAAGGCGGCGAUCUGGGAAGAUACUGACGCUGAGGUGCGAAAGCGUGGGGAGCAAACAGG
rnacentral:rRNA from 1 species